UUAUGUUUUGGCGUAUGCCUGCGUGAAAUAUUUUGUGCCUUUGGCAGUAAUGCUUCGAUACUGUGAAAGUUGUCGGUACAAUAUUCUUAUUGUUAUUUGUUGGUAUUCACUUAAUUUGUGUGGCUUGUUGACGACAGCGACAAGCAACAAUGACAGUUAACAGUUUUUUGCAUAGAACUCGCACAUGGCAAGCAACAACGAGUAACACAAAUAAGAAACUAAACUGCAACAAGAGAAUAACAAAAACAAAAGAAAAAACAAUAAUGUUCAAGCCAAAAAACAACUAACAAAGAAUAAACUGAUGUUGUGUAUGUUUAGGCGCAUAACCUCAAGAGACGUUUUGAUAUAAUGAAAACGUGUUAAAAUGUGUUGUAAGCGACCAACUUUGAGUUGUUUUUUUUCCAUUGUAUUUUUAUUUUUGUCAACUGGUAAAUAAUAUAAAAACAAUAUUCAAAACUUUUUCCCAACACAAAACAGUUAACAAUAGCAACAUAAAUUGUUCGGACAUGAGUUUACAUCUACGCGUAAUGGACCCAAAAGCUAUAAAUUUGGUAUGUCCUUAAUGUUAAGCGACACUUGACGCGUAAAAAAUUGUCUACCAACCAAAAAACAACUCCAGAAAAAUAAAUGUCAGCGUAAAACUUGACAGCAACAUGUGGGCGUAAAUUGGAGAACAUAACUGAAACAACAAGUCAGUCGAACACCUUAUAAGGAACUGCCAGUAUUCUAAUUUGCCUUAGGAUAAUUUUGGAGAGAUAUCCUCGAUUAUCCUAUAACAAAGUUUGUGUAUGCGUACCGACCGACUGCAGUUGGCAACAUAGAGUAGUUGUUUUGUACAUACAAAUGGCUAUUAUAAAGCUCACUAAAAUACUGGCGGCCAUACGAAAACUCCAAGCCAACCAACCUAAAGGAUUAAAAGUACCAAAACAGCAAUAAAUUUAAUUAAAAAAUUUUUCUAAAUGUUUUAUUAAAGUUUAUGCUGGUAACACUGCAUUGUUGCCAACUUUUAUUUUUCAUACUUUUAAUU